AUUGAACGCUAGCGGCAGGCCUAACACAUGCAAGUCGAACGAGUGGCGGACGGGUGAGUAAUAUCUGGGAAACUGCCUGAUGGCGGGGGAUAACUACUGGAAACGGUAGCUAAUACCGCAUACCAUCGGAUGUGCCCAGAUCGGAUUAGCUAGUAGGUGGGGUAAAGGCUCACCUAGGCGACGAUCCCUAGCUGGUCUGAGAGGAUGACCAGCCACACUGGAACUGAGACACGGGCCAGACUCCUACGGGAGGCAGCAGUGGGGAAUAUUGGACAAUGGGCGAAAGCCUGAUGCAGCCAUGCCGCGUGUAUGAAGAAGGCCUUCGGGUUGUAAAGUACUUUUAGCGGGGAGGCGUUACCCGCAGAAGAAGCACCGGCUAACUCCGUGCCAGCCGCCGCGGUAAUUC
rnacentral:rRNA from 1 species